AUUGAACGCUGGCGGAAUGCUUUACACAUGCAAGUCGAGCGGCAGCACGGGGGCAACCCUGGUGGCGAGCGGCGAACGGGUGAGUAAUACAUCGGAACAUGCCCAGUCGUGGGGGAUAACACUUCGAAAGAAGUGCUAAUACCGCAUACGUCCUGAGGGAGAAAGCGGGGGAUCGCAAGACCUCGCGCGAUUGGAGUGGCCGAUGUCAGAUUAGCUAGUUGGUGGGGUAAAGGCCUACCAAGGCAACGAUCUGUAGCUGGUCUGAGAGGAUGAUCAGCCACACUGGGACUGAGACACGGCCCAGACUCCUACGGGAGGCAGCAGUGGGGAAUUUUGGGCAAUGGGGGCAACCCUGAUCCAGCCAUUCCGCGUGAGUGAAGAAGGCCUUCGGGUUGUAAAGCUCUUUCGGCAGGAACGAAACGGUGAGCUCUAACAUAGCUUGCUAAUGACGGUACCUGAAGAAGAAGCACCGGCUAACUACGUGCCAGCCGCCGCCGUAAGAC
rnacentral:rRNA from 1 species